rnacentral:lncRNA from 1 species
GCUUAUAAUGCAUGACAUACCCUGUGAGGGAGCCUGAGAACAGACUCCUUUGAAAAGCAAGGUUCUCAUAGUUGGCCUGUAACCAUGGAAGCAGAUGCCGUUUUCUUCUCACCCUGCUUACCUCUUUGCAGCCUCGAGCUGCUCCCUAUUGUUAAAAGGGGUACGCCUUGAUUUUUCUUCAUCAUGACCGAACUUGCCUCUUCUUCAAAGGACAUGAUGCUGCAGGUCAUUGGUCUAGACUGUUUGCACGGUCCAGAGAAUAGCCUUGAUGUAACCCUUGCUCCGUCUGAGCCACACCACCAGCCGUGCAUCUGCAGACUGGAGGGGGACAUUGGAGAUCUGUAUUUGAAAAGAAGUCUGUCUGAUUUUGCCAUUGUGCCUUUUCACUCAUCGAUCGAAUGAAUAUCGAACCUUCUGUCGUUGCAUGUGUGAAAUAGAUAGCUUAGCAAGCACUUUUGUGCCCAACCUGUGCAGUGGGCCAAAAGGUUUUCCUUUUAGCCUCAAGAAUUUUUUCUUCAGACUUUAUGAAUUUCGUGUUAGCUUAAAUUAUUUAUAUGUCUUUAUCCAACUGUUACGAUGACCGUUUCAGUUACUUCGUCAGCAGUGACUUUCUUUUGGUAUUAGAAGGAGCAUUUUCUUUUCUGUCAACUAUGUUUGUUUUCCUUUUAAGCUUUUUAAGAUCUUCUAGAUUAAUUCAUUUGUAACUAGAGAUAGUAUAACUUUGACUGUAACCUAUGAAGCCAAAAAGUUGAGGUGUUCUUUCAAGGAGAUAAUGAGAUGGUGUCUAUCAUUUAACAGGUUUAUUCCAGAAAGGUGAACUUGAACUGCCUCCAGGUAAUUUCAGUGAUUUGUAAGAGUAAGUAAAUCAAAUAAUCACAUUGAUUUUAAAUUAAACAAAAUUGUCUGAUAAGCUCUGUUUCAAGGGAAAGUUUUUCUUUGUUUUUGCCCAUUAAAAAAUUUGCAAAAAUGUUAUUCUGGAGCAUUAAAAUAGACUCAAAAGCACAUAAAUUCAUUAUGAUCUGUGAAAGGCAUAUAAAAUCAUGGCGAUUUCAUAUGUUAAAUAAAUACUAUAUAUUUAUGAUAUAUAUCUUAUGGCAUGAUUUAAUUAGAAAGUACACAAUAUAAAAAGAUUUUCACAUUUCAUUUUUAGUACAAUUACAAUUCACAGCUUGUCAUCAAUAACUAAUGUUGACAAUAACUAAUAGCAACUAUAACACCUGCUCAUUCUAAAAAGCAUUCUUUUACUGUGUUCUUGUAAAAUCAGAAUGACUUUAAAAUGCCUCCUCUACUAAUCUGCAGUAUAUUGCUUAGCAAGUACUGUCUGUAUGUGUCAUCAGUUUCUGUUUUGUUUUGUUUCAUUUUAAGAACCCACUAUUUCAUACUUCAACGCAUACCUAUUUUCUCUAAUUGCCACAGGCAAAGGGGAGGUCCCUGACAGAAUAAAGAAGGUUAUUGUGACAGAUGAAACAUAAUUCACAAUGAGUACUCUUUUCAUCCAGCUCUAAGUAGCAGAGGAUUACUUCCAAGCUGAAUUUUGUGGCAGAAUGUAUGAGCUGAUUUUAUUAACACAUAAGGAUAGGGCAAAGGCAGAAAAACUAUUUCUCCUCAGCUGGAUGGUGGUUAUUUUGUGUGUGUCUGUUUGGGGGCUUUAUUUUGAUCCACCUCAAGCAGAAGAUAUGCUGGCCAGAAGAGACUCUGAAGACAUCGAGGGCAUAGGCGGGGAGGGUAGAAAAUAAGAAAUUUAAAGUAAUAAAAGUUGUGGGUUUUCUAUACUAGAUAAUGAGAAAUGAUGAACUAAAUAUACAGUAUUUCUACAUUCUUUGGCAUGCACAUGAAAUAAAGUCAUACUUUUUUUCAACAAAUACAACAGCUGCAAAAGUAGGUAAAUUUUAUUUCAUAAACUUACCUUUCUUUAGAUGAUUUUCUUUGUUUUUCAUAUUUUUAGUUUCAAAUGCUUUGUGAGAUCUCUAGAUGCCGUUUAGUUUUAUAAGAGGGCUUAAUAUUAAACUUGGGUUAAAUACGUAUAUGUUUAUUUGAAUAUUUCACUUGCUUUCAAUUGUUUGUUUUGCUUUUAAUGACAAGGAUUUUAUUUGAUCUUUAUAAAAUUUGUAUAUGCAAAUACAAAAAAUAUUUUCCUUUCUAUUUCUUAUGAGGUCAAAUUUUUAAAUUAACUAAAAGAGGGGCAAAAACUUGUACUUGAUAAAUAUCUGUGCAUAAUAAAAAGAAAUCCCAGACUAUAACAUUUAUUGCAAUUCAUUUGUUUUAAAUAGAUUUUUACUUACAUUAACCAUUUGGAUUUAGUUAUUCUUGAAAAUUGUUUGUAUUUUCUUCCCUAAUACUUUAUAGAAAUUGUAGUUGAAAUAGUUUUCUAUCUGUGAAAGGGAAAGUGUACAGUUGUUCUGUCUGCUAGUAUGCCUACUGUUACAAGACUUACAACAAAAUGCUAUUUCCCUAUGUUCUUGUCCAGAAAGUUUAAAAAAAAAAUCUAAAUUCUAAAUUGAAGUCUUUCUCAAUUUAUUGGAUCCAUUUCAUAUUUCAAAUAUUGUAAUGAAUAAUUCAAAUGCACUUAAUUUAAUUAGGUAUUCCCUGGAAGGAGGAAUAAGACUAUAAUCUACAACUAUUUGUUAUUUUUUUCUUAAAUACAAUAAUUUGGUUAUUUUGAUAUACC